CACCGCUUGCCCUCUCGGAUUCGAACCCCGAUGCGGCUCCCACGGGUCCAGGGUGCCCAGUCCUGCAGCCAGCUAGCCGCCGGAGCCCCUGCCGGAGGAAGCGCUCCCUAGCUGCCGCCGCGGCUGUUUCUGGCGUAAGGUGAAACCGUGGAGACGGAGCUGCGGCGGAUUUCUUCCCCACGCCUCGGUUUCCCCGUCUGUGAAAUGGGGCCCGGCGCGCCUGCCUCCUCCAGGGGGAGGCACUGCGAGGCUCAGAGCUCCUGGAGCUUCCAGUCUAUGGCGUGAGGAAAGCAGGAGGGCGUCUCCUCCAUCAGACCUGGAGCUUCCAGCUCACUUUCUCCAAAGCUCCAGAACCUGGCCCAAGGCUGGGCUGUGCUCUGUCCUUAGGGAAAGAAUGGACGAGUCACAACUGAAUGAAGAGAGCUGAGACAGUAGGUUUCCCUUAGGGCUCCACAGGCGGUUUCAGCCCAGGGGAAGACCCAGGGAGAUGAAGGCGACCUUGCAGGCUGUGGUGGGUGAGGAGGCAGCAGCCCGGGGCAGGGACUGUGCUGAGUGCCUGAGGCUGAGCCACCCUUCUGUAGCCUCCGUCAUCCAUCAGGUCUCAGAGGGCUGCCCUGUGUUCAGUAAGCCAAUGCCAGCACCAUGUGACGAGACACAGCAGUGAGCAGCUGCCCAGCCCCCUUGCACUGUAUUUGAAAAAGGAAGCUGGCUUGUUCAGGGGUUCCCAGCAGGAUGGGGGCGGGGGCAGGGACCAUGGCAGAGUGAGAGUUCUAGAAGAGAAGCUGGUCCUUCCACAGGCUCCCUGGCCUGGGUGCUGUGCCAGACAGGGUGCUGGGCGUUGCCCUGGAUUUCCCACCCCUGGGUUGCAGCUGGGAACUGUGUGGCCUUCACAGUCCUGUGAGCUGGGUGCUGUGCUGUGCCCACCUUACAGAUGAGAAAACUGAUGCUCAGAGGCUUGAGUGACCUAGUCAAGGACCUGUCCUUGCAGGCAGAUUCGGGACUCAGGGAAGAGCUCCCUGACCACAAAGCCCCAGGUGACUCACGCUGCAGGGAUGCUGCACUCCAAGGGUCCAGAAUGACUCCGCCAUUGGAGUCUGUGUUUCCUGAGUCCGCCUCUCACUGGCAGGUCCUGAGCCCCCUUCCUUCCCAGCACCCACUCUUGGAGCAGUUACCCAGGACUGUGCUGCGGCUGCUGGGGCCAGGGAGAGACUCUGCGCUCCGGCCAGGGGCUUUGGGGACUUGGUUAGGACUAACGCACCAAGCGAGUUGUGCUGAGUGUCGAGACUUCUUCUGGGAAGCUGGAGCUGCUUAUCAUCGCUCCAACUUUCACUAAAAAGGAAAAACUAUCAUUUAAACAAAGCUAUCGAAAACCCAGCAUCAUAUGUGGACUUUUUAACAUAAAUAAAUCAUACAAACUAAGAUUUAUGUUCAUGGAAUGAUGUCAUUCAUUGAAGGCCGCCUUCCCAGUCAAAUCCAUGUCCAGCGGUUUUGCUUUGAUGGGGUAUGCUUUUUGCUAAGUAGGAAAAACCCGUUCAGCCAUCCUUGCUGCUAUCUUUCCUCACUCUGGCCCAGGACAUCCGAAAGGUUUCUCCCUGCGCCAGUCCACAGAGCCAAGUCCAAAUGGUGAAAAUGGUUUUAACUCCAUAGACUGCUUGUGAACCGUAAGUCUGAGAUUAAGACUGUUAAACCUUCCCUAAGAAUUUGUGCGAGCCUCAGCGGAAGCUUAUUGUCCUCCCAGGUCUCCCAGAAGCUAGAGUGAGUCUCGCUGCAGAGUAACGCAUCUGCAGAACCUUCACCAAAUUGAAAUGAGUGAGGAGCAUUAAAAUCAGCACACGCGGCAUAUCCGUGCAAUGGAAUAUUAUGUCACCAUGGAAAGGAAUGAAGGUCUGACACUUGCUACAUGAAUGAACCUUGGAAACAUGAUGCUCCAUGAAAGAAGUCAGUCAUAAAAGGUCACACAUUGUGUGAUUCCAUUUCUGUGAGAUGUCCAGGAUGGGCCAAGCCAUAGAGACUGAGGCAGGUUAGUGGUUGCCUGGCUGUGGCAGUAGAGGCAGUGGCACCCUGGGCCAAUGAAGACACCAGAACAGAUGGGCCACACCGGAGUCCAGCUCCAACCCACCAGGCAUUGGCAGGAGACCAUUAGCUGGAAGCCAGUGGGACGUCAGGCUUACUAAUAGGGGCAGGUGUUCACCAGGCUGCAGCGAAGCUUCCGUUUGUCCACGCAACACGCCGCGUGCUUGCUGUGUGCCAGGGACAGCCAUAGGCCCUGAGGCUGCUGCAGUGAUGGAAACGGAUGCUGCUCCCAUCAAGCUCAUGUUUUCAUAAGGGUCUGAUGUGCCAGGCUGGAUGAUUCCAGUGCAAUGGACACAAGAGAGGUAAAAAGGCACAAAUUUCAAUCAGUUGUUCGAGAAAGGCCUCACUGAGGUGGUGACAUUUGGGCAGAGACAUGAGGGAGUGAUGGGGGAGUCACCCAGUGUCUGGGGGAAGAGCAGUGGGGCAGAGGGAACAGCCAGUGCGAAGGCCCUGAGGCUCCAGUGACCAGUGUGGCCGAUGCAGAAGGACAGGGAGGGGAGGAGGUGAAACCGCAUAGAGUGGCAGUGGGAGGACAAAUUAAGGAAUUAAAGUUGCGCUCUCUGCUGAUUUUAAAGUAGGGAGAUGAUUCUGGAUUAUCUGAGUGGGCUUAAUGUCCUGACUCUCCUGCCUCCCUCUUCCACUUUUAAGGGUCACAAGGAUCCAAAAGUAGAGGAGGGAGACAGGAGAGUCAAGGUCAGGAUGGAGAGGAGAAAUGUGAGAAUACAAGGAAGAUUCCUCUGGCUGUGCUGGCUCUGAAGACAGAGGAAGGGUCCGUGAGCCACAGUAUGUGAAUACAGACUCUAGAAGCUAAAAAAGGCAAAGAAAUGGAUUUUAGAGCCUCCAGCAAGGGAGGCAGUGCUGCCCAUGCCUCGGCUUUAGGACACUGAGAUCCAUUUUAGACUUCUGACACACAAAACCAAAAUCUAGUAAGUACGUGCUAUUCGAAGCUGCUAAGUUUGUAGUAAUUUGUUAGAGCAGCCACCAGAAAUUUAUAUGGGGAGGAAAUGGGGAUUUCAUCUGUCCAUGGUCAAGACAUUCCGGGUGUGGUAAGAAUCUGAGCCCACCUCACCUACAUGAGAAUGAGAGAGUGAUGACCACAGAAUAGUGGUGAUGGCCGUCCACAUAUCUGGCUCCUUAGCCACUCAUGCCAAUAUGGACUGGCUGCCUUCUAUGUGCUGCCCAUGGCCAUUCUCUAGGGAAAUUCCUUUGCAUCUUCUGCUACCUUUACAGACUACAUAUCUUGUUGGAUUACUUUCUCAUUUUCAUGAAGCAUAUCUUCUGGUAACUUCUGAUAAAAGAUGCAUAGGAGAUACAUAUUUUAGGACUUGUGCAGUACCGGAAGGAUAGUUGAGCUGGGUAUAGAAGUGCUUUGUUACUGGUUCCUACUCUCUGUUUUCUUUCUUCUUUAUUUUUGGAACUUGAUCCUUAUAUGAGCUUUCUUCUGCCCAUUUAAUCUGUGUGUCCUCCAAUUGGCUUUGUUCUAUCUGUUUCAAUAUGUCUUUCCUGAGGCAUCUGCUGAUCCUAUGCGUUCUGCCCAUGAUGAGGAGCUGACUGGAAGAUCUGACAGUAAGAAAGGAGGGGUACAUUGUCCUUGAGACUUGUGGAUGGGGGUGAUCCUGAGAACCUUGGAUGCCAGUUAUCUUUAGGAACUGACCUGAUUCCCAGAGAAGUUACCCAAAGAGUGAGGGAGGGAUCUGGUUGCCAGUCUUCUUGGAGUCAAUGUGGAGUUGAAGGCAGGGGUCUUUGCAGUCAGCUGCCUGAAUUCUAGGAAAUAAACUUCUGGACUUUUGCUGGUGUUGGGGAGGAGUGGUCGCUCAGGGAAGAUAAGGAGGGGACAGGAAUCUAACUGGGUCAUAGGCCCCUUUCACUCUAGCCUUCCUGAUCAUAGCCACCUUUGCACCCCAAGUCCUAGAGGUACUCUUACACCCAGUCCUCAGUGUUGGAGUUCCCCUUGGUUACAAAGCUGGUAAAAUAUCACCUUCCUGCUCUCUAGUCAGGACUUUCUCUUGUCUCUAACCCAGUUGCCACAGGUCCAGGUCCAUCAGCAAUUCAGCUUUCAGAAAGGAGGCCCACCCUCACGUGCCUUUUAAAAUAUCUUUAUUGUGGUUGAAGUGGGGCUUACAGAGGGGACAGCAUUGAAUGGGUGUGUGUUCAAUUUGCCAUCUUAACCCAGAGGCUUUUGUAGCUAUUUUAGAAACACUAUGUCCAUUCUUAGGUCCAGGCCUGAUGCCACACCCGGUGUCCAUACACAGGGUCUCUGACUCCACAGCGUCGUUCUUUGGGUGCUGAUCAGUGAUCUUUCCAGAGCCUCUCCCAUGACCUGCUUCUGGCCACAAAAACAGCUAACAAAUGCAAUUUGUGUUUCCUACAAAGGAAUGUUGUGUAGGCAGUGAACAUAGUGACAAGAGUGCAUGCUUAUCACCGUACUGACAGGUCCACCUUUAAAAAUGUCAGCUGACAUAUUAACAGUGGUUUUCCCUGGGUGAUGAAAUCUGAGAAUAUUAGAACUUUUUUUCUGUUAUGUUUCUCUGUAUUUUAAUUUUUGUCCACUGACUAUAUAUUAGUGGUAGAAGUGUUACAAUGUUUAAAAAUGAAAACAUCAAGAAAUUAGCCCACCAUGGUGGUGGCAUGUUCCUGUGGUCCCAGUUACUCAGGAGGCUGAGGCAGGAGGAUCUCUUGAGCUCAGGAGGUAGAGGUUGCAGUGAGCCAAGAUCUCACCACUGCACCCCAGCCUGGGUGACAGAGUGAGAUCUUAUCUCAAAACAUAAAAAUAAACAUGAGAAGAAAAUCCUAUCUGUCCUUCAAGAACCAGCUCAGCCUCGGCUACUUCCCAGGAGCAUUCCAUAUUCCCACUGUUGGGAAUGCUUUCUGCACCACAUUAAAUAAACUGCAUUUUCUAAAUAUCAC
ensembl:lincRNA